GUUUUCGAAAUAUUGAAGAUCAUGUUUCGCAAUGUUUCCUGAAAAUUGAUAAAUAUCAAAGCAACGUAGAGCUGUUUGUUCUUGUUCGUAUAAUAAAAUUGAGAAUGGAAAUGAGGAAUUUGUCAAAGAGACAACAACCCGACCAUAGAAAAACAUACAACAGCAGAAUUAAGGUCACCAACAGGUCUUCAAUGCAGCGAAAAAUUCCCGCACCCGGAGGCGUCCUUCAGCUGGCCCCUAUACAAUAUAUAUACUAGUUCAGUGAUAACGAUUUAAUGUCAUGUUUGUCUGUGAUGAUCCCCCUUUUCGGGAUUGCAUGAGAAUUGUAGUUAUCUCGUACCCACAUGCACUUGUUUCUAUCCAUAGGAAGGUCGACUAUCCAUAUAAA
rnacentral:lncRNA from 1 species